AGCAGCCGCGGUAAUUCCAGCUCCAAUAGCGUAUAUUAAAGUUGUUGCAGUUAAAAAGCUCGUAGUUGAAUUUCGGGAUCAAUAUAUCGGUCGUGCCUUGGUACGUACUGGUAUCAUUGGUUUCUCCUUUCUGACGAACCAUGAUGUCAUUAAUUUGGUGUUAUGGGAAGUUAGGACUGUUACUUUGAAAAAAUUAGAGUGUUUAAAGCAGGCUUUAGCUUGAAUACAUUAGCAUGGAAUAAUGAAAUAGGACGUUCGAACCUAUUUUGUUGGUUUCUAGGAUCAACGUAAUGAUUAAUAGGGAUAGUUGGGGGCAUUAGUAUUCAAUUGUCAGAGGUGAAAUUCUUGGAUUUAUUGAAGACUAACUACUGCGAAAGCAUUUGCCAAGGAUGUUUUCAUUAAUCAAGAACGAAAGUUAGGGAUCGAAGACGAUCAGAUACCGUCGUAGUCUUAACCAUAAACUAUGCCGACUAGGGAUCGGAUGAUGUUAAUUUUUUAAUGACUCAUUCGGCGCCUUACG
rnacentral:misc_RNA from 1 species